rnacentral:misc_RNA from 1 species
AGAAGGUGAAAGACAAGAAACUCUCAGACGAGAAAUCACGCAUAGCCAAGGAGGCUUCAAUUUUGCUUAUGCUUGCCCAUGAUGGUUUUUCAACAUCUGAGCUUUGUUUGCAUUAUUUGCUGUCAUCAUCAAAUGUUGAUGAAGUUAUAUUAUUAUCUUCAAUAGGUAGAUUGAAUGGUAAAGAAAUGAUGAACUUAAUUAGGUAUCUGGGGAAAUGGUUAAAGAAAAUAUGAAAUGUUUCCUCAGGCAGGUC